rnacentral:rRNA from 1 species
UCUACGGGAGGCAGCAGUGAGGAAUAUUGGUCAAUGGACGAGAGUCUGAUCCAGCCAAGUAGCGUGAAGGAUGACUGCCCUAUGGGUUGUAAACUUCUUUUAUAUGGGAAUAAACUGUUCCACGUGUGGGCUUUUGUAUGUACCAUAUGAAUAAGGAUCGGCUAACUACGUGCCAGCAGCCGCGGUAAUACGGAGGAACCGAUCGUUAUCCGGAUUUAUUUGGGUUAAAGGGAGCGUUGGUGGAUUUGUAAGUCAGUUGUGAAAGUUUGCGGCUCAACCGUAAAAUUGCAGUUGAAACUGGCAGGCGGGAGUACAGUAGAGGUGGGCGGAAUUCGUGGUGUAGCGGUGACAUGCUUAGAUAUCACGAAGAACUCCGAGUGCGAAGGCAGCUCACUGGACUGCAACUGACACUGAGGCUCGAAAGUGUGGGUAUCAAACAGGACUAGAUACCCCAGCAGUC